GUGAUUGUGGCUCAGUGGUAGAGCACUUGCCUGGUAAGUGUGAGGCACUGGGUUCAGGUCUCAGCACCAUA
rnacentral:tRNA from 1 species